rfam:Patagioenas fasciata monilis isolate BTP2013 Sc31e1R_495, whole genome shotgun sequence.
CCUGCACACUGUUAAAGCUUGGUGCCGAGGUCAGUUUCUGGCCGAUGAGCUCUCAAGUGUCGGAAGUGUGCUACAACAAACUGGCUGGCAGGGUUUUCGCUAACGCCAGGAGAGGAGCCCCCUCUGUGAAUGGAGUUUGAUAGUAGGCCCUGCCACAUGC